UAUUAAGCCUUAAUACGUUCUCUAUGUUUCCUUGCUGCGGUGAUCGAAGAAACGCAUACACAAUAAACCAAUUUCCUAUGGUAUAUGAAAUUCAAUCGAUUCAAAAAUUCGCCAAAAAGCCAUUGGUUCUCAUUCUUCUUUGCUUUCCUUGCGUUUGAUUGUGUUUCGAUCCCGGUUUCGACGCUUCGAUAAUUGCGAAUUUUAUUCAAUAUUCGGACAUUCCAAAAUUCGAAGCUCGGAGAAGAAUGCGGCUCGAAACCGCUAUUAAACUAAACUGAGCUUUCGGCGUACGAACCAGCGAGUAUACUCUUCGACUCCCCUACCACUUCCGCGCGACGAAACCAUGUUGUCUAGGAAUGGAUUUUUUCCACUUUGAAUCGAGCCGUGAUCGAUCAUUCGAACGCAAACUUUCUUCGAUUCACGAUAACAUACCGCAGCACACUGUGAUCCACAGUGGGCUAUUCGCAUCAAAAAAUCGACAAUAGAUCGAUUUCAAAAACUCCGCACGAGAUGUAUAAUUUCUGCUACGAUAUAUUCGUGUAUUCACGAAACGUUGUGCUUUGUACGAGAGUUGAGAGUUGCAGUGGCUCGUGUUUUUUCUUAACUAUCUCUCGAAACAUAUUUUACUUAUAAAUUAUUUCGAUUCAGUGUCAUUGGCGCGCAAAAACCAUUUUUUCUGACCUUUUAAACAAAUAUUAAACUUGAUUCU
rnacentral:misc_RNA from 1 species